AGAAUCAACGCUGGCGGCGUGCCUAAUACAUGCAAGUCGAACGCGAAGACCCCGCAAGGGGGUUGGUAGCGUGGCAAACGGGUGAGUAACGCGUGGGCGACCUGCCUUCGAGUGGGGGAUAACCUUCCGAAAGGGAGGCUAAUACCGCACUGACAUGCCGUGUUUAGAUACACGGACAUCAAAGCCGGGGAUCGCAAGACCUGGCGCUUGAAGAGGGGCCUACGUCCGAUUAGCUAGGUUGGUGGGGUUAAUGGCUCACAAGGCGACGAUCGGA
rnacentral:rRNA from 1 species